rnacentral:rRNA from 2 species
GGCUCAGAACGAACGCUGGCGGCAGGCCUAACACAUGCAAGUCGAGCGCCCCGCAAGGGGAGCGGCAGACGGGAGAGUAACACGUGGGAACGUGCCCUUCAGUUCGGAACAACCCAGGGAAACUUGGGCUGAUACCGGAUACGUCCGUAAGGAGAAAGAUUUAUCGCUGAAGGAUCGGCCCGCGUCUGAUUAGCUAGUUGGUGGGGUAACGGCCCACCAAGGCGACGAUCAGUAGCUGGUCUGAGAGGAUGAUCAGCCUCACUGGGACUGAGACACGGCCCAGACUCCUACGGGAGGCAGCAGUGGG